CGCCAUGAGGUAGAAGCCGCGGGGAGGGCGAGUGGGGGGGAAGCGGAGGGUUUGGAGAUGCUUGAGACGUGGUCCUUACCUACGUGAAACGGAGGUUGAGGCGAAAAACCUGGCUUUGAUACCUUCAUGGAGUACUACGUUAUUUCAAUCCUGAAUCUGGUUUAGUCCUCUUAUUGACUUAUUAUAUUAAAAAUGUUUAUAUUUGC